rnacentral:rRNA from 1 species
UACGAGGGGGGCGAGCGUUGUUCGGAAUUAUUGGGCGUAAAGGGUGCGUAGGCGGUUUGGUAAGUCUGAUGUGAAAUCUAUGGGCUCAACUCAUAGUCUGCAUCGGAAACUGCCGGGCUUGAGUAUGGGAGAGGUGAGUGGAAUUCCUGGUGUAGCGGUGAAAUGCGUAGAUAUCAGGAGGAACACCUGUGGCGAAAGCGGCUCACUGGACCAUAACUGACGCUGAUGCACGAAAGCGAGGGGAGCAAACAGG